GAGAAGCACUUACCCGUUGAAGAAACAAAAAAUUAAUCAGGGGAGAUGGUUACUCUCAGCUUCAGGAUCAUUUAGGAACUCCCUAAUCAACAAACAAACGGUUCAAUCUAGUGAUAUUGUAGAGAAAUGGUAGAGAAAAUUGAAGAACUGAGUUUUAGAGAGAGAUAGGAGGAUUGAGCUAAUGAACCAGAGGCUUUAAAGAAAACUAUUUAUACGUUUG
rnacentral:lncRNA from 1 species